AUUGAACGCUGGCGGCAGGCCUAACACAUGCAAGUCGGACGGUAGCACAGAGGAGCUUGCUCUUCGGGUGACGAGUGGCGGACGGGUGAGUAAUGUCUGGGAAACUGCCCGAUGGAGGGGGAUAACUACUGGAAACGGUAGCUAAUACCGCAUAACGUCGCAAGACCAAAGUGGGGGACCUUCUGGACUCACACCAUCCGAUGUGCCCGGAUGGGAUAAGCUGGUAGGCGGGGUAACGGCCCACCUAGGCGACGAUCCCUAGCUGGUCUGAGAGGAUGACCAGCAACACUGGAACUGAGACACGGUCCAGACUCCUACGGGAGGCAGCAGUGGGGAAUAUUGCACAAUGGGCGCAAGCCUGAUGCAGCCAUGCCGCGUGUAUGAAGAAGGCCUUCGGGUUGUAAAGUACUUUCAGCGGGGAGGAAGGUGCUGAGGUUAAUAAGCUCAGCAAUUGACGUUACCCGCAGAAGAAGCACCGGCUAACUCCGUGCCAGCCGCCGCCGUAA
rnacentral:rRNA from 1 species